GUUUCUCUCCAAUGUGAAUUUUGACUGAACGCUUUGUUACAUUCAUCACACUUGUAAGGUUUCUCACCAGUAUGAAUUAUCAGAUGUUGAGCAAGGUAUGAAUUGCGACUAAAUACCUUGCCGCAUUCAUGACAUUUGUAAGGUUUUUCUCCAGUAUGAAUUGUCCGAUGUUGUGCAAGGUGUGAAAUUUGAUGGAACACCUUUCCACAGUCAUUACAUUUAUAAGGUUUCUCUCCAGUAUGAAUUCUUCGAUGUUGCGUAAGGUGUGAAAUUUGACUAAAGACUUUGCUACAAUCAUUACAUUUAUAAGGUUUCUCUCCAGUAUGAAUCCUGCGAUGCUGUGCAAGGUGUGAAAUGUUAUUGAAGACCUUGCCACAUUCGUUACAUUUAUAUAGUUUCUCUCUGGUAUGAAUUCUUCGAUGACUUGCAAGGUUUGAUUUUUUAUUGAAGAUGUUGCCACAUAUAUCACAUUUAAAUUGCUUCUCUUCAGAAUGGAUUAUUUGAUAUAUGGUAAAAUAUAAGUCUCGAUGAAAGGUCUUGCCACACUCGUUAUAUUUGUAAUGUUCCGUCCGAACGUUUGCUCUCUCUCUUUCUGUGAAUACAGAAUCCGUAAGAUGACAUUUGUAUGUAUGAGAAAGGUGGGUUUUGACAGCAGAAGAAAUAUUUUGGGGUGGGGAAACUAAGGAACUACUGUUGAUAGAUUUUUCCAUGUGAUUAUAUUGAUGUAUUUUCCCUUCAGCUUGAAAUACCUGCAGUUCUGGUAGAUGUGACUGGAGGUUUAAUACAAGCUGAUUUUUAAUAGGGAAAAGAAAGAGUGUGGCUUAUGGCUCAGGCCCAUGCCAACCAUUUUCAUUGGUAAGACCCUACUCAACCAAUAGGGGCUGCUGCCAUCCCCCUAGGAAGAACCAGCCUGAGAAUACCAGCCCACAGAUCCAAGGCUGAGUAUCCGGUCCCCAUAUGGUCACUUGCCUUAUUGCAGCCCUUAACAAGGCCACCCAUAAGGCUGUACAUUUUGAAAAACUCAAACUUCCCAAAAGGCAGAUGAAGCUUCACUGCUACAACAAGGGGCCUCCUUCCAAGGGAACUGGAUAGUCAAUGAUCAAAAACUCAUCUUCUCUGAAGAACAAACCAAGGAAAUUCUAACAUCUGUUCACCCAUCCUUCCAUAUCGGUGCACGCCCCCUGCACCUUCUCCCCCCACCUACUUACCUCGAGGACAUAACCUCAAACUCUCAUGUAUGCUCUGCACUUCCUCUCAAGGAGCCCUCCACGCUCCUUGUCCCCACACAUGAGCUAAGAGGAUCACUCCCAGGAGAAGACUGGCAAGCAGACUUCACCCACAUGCCUCCUGUCAGAAAAAGCUAGCUUUCUUCCUAACCUCAUAGAUACCUUCUCUGGGUGGGUAGAAGCAUUCCCCACUUCCUCAGAAAAGGCUGCAGCCGUUUCUCAAAUACUUUCUACAGAAAUCAUCCCUAGCUGUGGUCUGCUGCGCUCCAUUCAAUCAGACAACGGCCCUAGCUUCGUCUCCCAAAUCACCCAACAAGUCGCAGUCUCUCAGCAUCCAGUGGCACCUCCAUAUCCCAUACCGACCCCAGUCAUCAGGAAAAGUUGAAAGGGCAAAUGGGAUCCUUAAGACUCAGUUAACCAAACUCACUCUUGAAGUCCAGCAACCCCGGACCUCCCUUCUGCCCAUACUCCUAGCCUGCAUCAGAGCCAGCCCAACAGCAACCUCCUUAUUCAGCCCACUUGAGUUCAUGUACAAACACCCUAUCUUCAUACAAAACAGGCCCCUUCCUCUCAACUCUCCCACAUCUGACGCCUCCUCCGUGGACACGGUGACCAAGGCCUCAUGAAGGCCCGGUUAACCAGGCCCUCCUCUCAGGAGAAUGUUUUCCUAAAGACCUUGAUCCCAUACGCCUUAACCAAAAUGGGAAGGCCCCAUUCAGGUUCUCCCCACAACCCCCGCUGCAGCCAAACUCUUAGAACACACUUCUUGCUAUCAUCUUUGCAGGUUAAAAAGGGACCCCGAGGCCCCCACUGGCCUGUCAACUCCCUCCUCGCGAACCACCCAUCUAUACUCAGCAUCAAGCUGGGCCAACCCAACUCCACCUCACACCAAUUCCAGAGCAACCCCACCAGAUAAGCAAAACUACCCUCUCUUUGUUCCUGCUUCAGAGACCCGGCAAACAACUGUUGGCUGUGCCUCCCCAUCUCGGACACUGACUACAUUGCCAACCUCGUCCCCACCCAAGAUUGGCUACAUACCAAAGUAACCUAUCACCCCCAGUUUCAACUAGGCGGACCUUUCCAAUGUGAUUUACAACUAAUAGGCUUUCUGAAUCCUUUCUGGAGCAUAUCAAACCCCUAACCUUCACCAGACAGGCAGCUCUCUUUCUCCCCACAUUAAGCACACCCAGCCCCUAAUCCCCAUUACCACACAGACAGCCCUGCUCCCUCAGAUCCCACUGUGCUUCCAAUGCCACUUCCCGGCCAGCCAUUACUUAGGCCACCUGCUCCCACAGCAGUGACUUCACCCCACAACUCCAAUCCUCCACAAACACAUAAACCAAAACAUAAUCAACGCUGCGCUCUGCUUCUCAAGCCCUUCCAAACUCAGCACUAACCUACUCCUUCAUAAGAAGUCAGGUUUCUGUAACGGCAGACACACUCCCUGCUUAAACCUGCACCCCUGGCUAUCCUGUGAUGCCAAGCCACCCGAGACCCAAGACUGCCUCCUCCCCAAUCCUUCACCAAUAACUCCUCUCACUGGCUCCUAGUAGAUAUAAAAUGCCUUCUCCUCCACUGGGUGGAUAAAAAAACCACAGACUAUCCAACCCACCCCCCAUGCACCUCUUCAACCACUCACCGCAGCUGCCCCAGCAGGGACUUUAGGAGUAUGGCUUCUAAAGGACAAAAAAUCUACAUACUGUGUUAACAUGCACAGUCAGAUCUGCCUGCCAAGCCAAGGCGUCUUCUUCCCACGCGGUGCCUGCCUUCAUAUCUGCCUUCUCACCAACUGGACUGGCGCCCGCACCUUAGUCUUCCCUCCAUAAAAUCGGUAUCACCCCAGGAAACCAAUCCUUGCCUAUCCCGUUGACACCCUCACCCAACACCAUAAAGCAAUACAGUUUAUACCCUUGCUUCUAGAAAUAGGAAUAGAACAGCCAGACUAUCCCCACCUCCCUUUCAUACUGUUACUCUUUCCAAAAACCUCACAGACAGUAUAGAAGACACAGCCAAAUCCACUUCAACACUCCAAACACAAUCACAUUCACUAGUGGCAGGUAUGCUGCAAAAUCACAGAGGCGUCGAUUUCCUUAACCAAAAAAGGAGGCCUCUGCUUUUUUUUUUUUUUUUUGGAAUUUUUUGUAGAGACCAGAGUUUCGCCAUGUUGCUCAGGAUGGUCUUGAUCUCCUGACCUCAUGAUUUGCCUCCCAAAGUGCUACGAUUACAGGUGUGAACCACUGCACCUGGCCAGCCUCUGCAUUAUUUUCUUAGAUGAACAAUGCUGUUUUUAUCUCAACCAAUCUGGAAUAGUACAAAAUGUGGUCAAAAGACUCAAAGGCUGAGCCCAAAAACUAAAAGAAAACAAUUCUUCUGCCUGGCCCAGCUGGUCUCCCAGCUCUGGGGCUGCUAUAACUCUCCUCUUCCUCUUAGUCUUUGUCACGUUCGUAUUAUGCCUUUUCACCCAGUUUCUACAGAAUCAAAUGAAAGCUUUUAACUGUGGUACGAUACGGACAUAAUAAUGUUCCACGGCUACCAACUUGCAAGCCAGCAUCAUCCAACGUCCCUGCUGAGCACGAGGUGGCUAGAAAAAGCAAUGCGCCUUUAUCCCUUUCUUUCAUAUAUAUAACAAACGACUGGAAACGUUAGGAUCACGUGACAGGCCCAUAGCUCUCCCCCACACUCACCCCUAUCAAGCCAAGCUUGUAACAGAAACAACCUCAGGCCUUGUAAACAGCGCACCUAGGUUUCAGGAUGUGGUCGCACCUGGCUCUAGAACUCAGGAUGUUGACCCCAAUGAACCUUGUCAGCCCUAAGAACCAGAAUACGGUUUUACUGAGAACAGCAUCCGGCCACAGGCAAACUCCCUAUAACCCGCAUAGUCUGUAAGCCAGACUGCUGCCUUUCCUGCCUGUGGUGAGGCAGCCUGGCAGGCUGAAUAAACUUGCUAAACCUGA